AUUGAACGCUGGCGGCAUGCUUUACACAUGCAAGUCGAACGGUAACAGGCCGCAAGGUGCUGACGAGUGGCGAACGGGUGAGUAAUGCAUCGGAACGUGCCCAGUCGUGGGGGAUAACGCAGCGAAAGCUGCGCUAAUACCGCAUACGAUCUAUGGAUGAAAGCGGGGGACCGUAAGGCCUCGCGCGAUUGGAGCGGCCGAUGUCAGAUUAGGGAGGUGGUGGGGUAAAGGCUCACCAAGCCAACGAUCUGUAGCUGGUCUGAGAGGACGACCAGCCACACUGGGACUGAGACACGGCCCAGACUCCUACGGGAGGCAGCAGUGGGGAAUUUUGGACAAUGGGCGCAAGCCUGAUCCAGCAAUGCCGCGUGCAGGAAGAAGGCCUUCGGGUUGUAAACUGCUUUUGUACGGAACGAAACGGUCCUGGUUAAUACCUGGGGCUAAUGACGGUACCGUAAGAAUAAGCACCGGCUAACUACGUGCCAGCCGCCGCGGUAACAC
rnacentral:rRNA from 1 species